GACGAACGCUGGCGGCGUGCUUAACACAUGCAAGUCGAACGGUAAGGCCCUUCGGGGUACACGAGUGGCGAACGGGUGAGUAACACGUGGGUGAUCUGCCCUGCACUUCGGGAUAAGCCUGGGAAACUGGGUCUAAUACCGGAUAGGACUCCGGACUGCAUGGUCUGGGGUGGAAAGCUUUUGCGGUGUGGGAUGGGCCCGCGGCCUAUCAGCUUGUUGGUGGGGUGAUGGCCUACCAAGGCGACGACGGGUAGCCGGCCUGAGAGGGUGACCGGCCACACUGGGACUGAGAUACGGCCCAGACGCCUACGGGAGGCAGCAGGGGGGAAUAUUGCACAAUGGGCGCAAGCCUGAUGCAGCGACUCCGCGUGAGGGAUGACGGCCUUCGGGUUGUAAACCUCUUUCAGCAUCGACGAAGCGAAAGUGACGGUAGGUGCAGAAGAAGGACCGGCCAACUACGUGCCAGCAGCCGCGGUAA
rnacentral:rRNA from 1 species